rnacentral:rRNA from 1 species
AUUGAACGCUGGCGGCAUGCCUUACACAUGCAAGUCGAACGGCAGCACGGGAGCAAUCCUGGUGGCGAGUGGCGAACGGGUGAGUAAAGUAUCGGAACGUGCCCAGUCGUGGGGGAUAACGUAGCGAAAGUUACGCUAAUACCGCAUACGAUCUAUGGAUGAAAGCGGGGGAUCGCAAGACCUCGCGCGAUUGGAGCGGCCGAUAUCAGAUUAGGUAGUUGGUGGGGUGAAGGCUCACCAAGCCGACGAUCUGUAGCUGGUCUGAGAGGACGACCAGCCACACUGGGACUGGGAAACGGCCCAGCCUCCUACGGGAGGCAGCAGUGGGGAAUUUUGGACAAUGGGCGAAAGCCUGAUCCAGCCAUGCCGCGUGCAGGAUGAAGGCCUUCGGGUUGUAAACUGCUUUUGUACGGAACGAAAAGGUUUGGCCUAAUAAGCUGAGCUCAUGACGGUACCGUAAGAAUAAGCACCGGCUAACUACGUGCCAGCCGCCGCCGUAA